rnacentral:rRNA from 1 species
CCUACGGGAGGCAGCAGUAGGGGAUAUUGCUCAAUGGGGGAAACCCUGAACCAGCAACGCCGCGUGGGGGAUGACGGUUUUCGGAUUGUAAACUCCUUUUCUCAGUGAAGAUAAUGACGGUAUCUGACGAAUAAGCACCGGCUAACUCCGUGCCAGCAGCCGCGGUAAUACGUAGGGUGCAAGCGUUGCUCGGAUUCACUGGGAGUAAAGAGUGCGUAGGCGGGAUAGCAAGUCAGAUGUGAAAUCCAAUGGCUUAACCAUAGAACUGCUUUUGAAACUGUUAUUCUAGAGUAAGGGAGAGGUAGGCGGAAUUCUUGGUGUAGGGGUAAAAUGCGUAGAGAUCAAGAGGAAUACUCAUGGCGAAGGCGACCUGCUAG